rnacentral:rRNA from 1 species
CCUACGGGAGGCUGCAGUAGGGAAUAUUGCUCAAUGGGGGAAACCCUGAAGCAGCCACGCCGCGUGGAGGAUGAAGGUUUUCGGAUUGUAAACUCCUUUUGUUAGAGGAGAUAAUGACGGUAUCUAACGAAUAAGCACCGGCUAACUCCGUGCCAGCAGCCGCGGUAAUACGGAGGGUGCAAGCGUUACUCGGAAUCACUGGGCGUAAAGGGCGUGUAGGCGGGAUAGCAAGUCAGAUGUGAAAUCCUAUGGCUUAACCAUGGAACUGCAUUUGAAACUGUUGUUCUAGAGUGUGGGAGAGGUAGGUGGAAUUCAUGGUGGAGGGGUAAAAUGCUUAGAGAUCAAGAAGAACACCGAUUGCGAAGGCGAGCUGCAGGAGUAUAUCUGACGCUGAGGCGCGAAAGCGUGGGUAUCAAACAGGAUUAGAUACCCGAGUAGUC